AUGUGUGAGAAAGUGCAGGGAAACUCAAACCUAGCAAAUUUGUACCGGGCUUCCGGUUGUAAGACACAGUCACCUCUAUGGGCCGCCCCCUGGCCUCACAGGUGUGGGCUCGCUACACCCAAAUAGAUCUAUCGUUCUUGUGUCCCUCGGUCCUACAACGAUGAUUAAUGGCCUCAAGUGUUGUACCCACCCCUCACAUGAUCUGAACGUCCUAACCCUCCUUAAGCUAACCCAUAACAUGUAAAUAAAUGUUUGUAAUAAUUGUAUCAUGUAUUUUACCCCACCCCUAAGGCUGAACCUCACAUUUCGAUAAUACGUAAUUGUUUUGUAAAAACGGGUAUGUUUAGUAUAAACUUUUCGUAAAUCAUUUGAGUUCCUCGAAAUCCAUUCGUAAUAUGAUU
rnacentral:lncRNA from 1 species